AUUAAAUAGAGCUGAUAUCUUACUCCGCUCCCUACUCCCACUGGACCUCACAACCAUUGGAUACACUCCUUCCCCACAGGGAUACACCUCCCAGGACACAGUAGUGGAGGCACAUAACGGAGUGAUUAACAGGGGUGAUCCCCCUUACGCUGGGUGACCCCCAAGCGUGGCAGACACCUCUCCAAGUGACAUUGUGGUACAGGGGUGACCCCCCUUACGCUGGGUGACCCCCAAGCGAAUCUGGUUCCUGUCCUAGUGACAUACAUAUACUGGGGUGUUCCCCCUACUCUGGGUGAACCCCAAGCGAAUAUUAUUCCGGUACUAGUGACAUACAUAUACUGGGGGAAACCCCCACGCCCUAGGGCGGGCUCAUUUCCACGGAGUACGAUCUGUUACUGUAUGCACAGACCGGGUCACACUGAAUACAUGUAUAUCGACAGAGCCAGGAAGGAGAGCUCAUGGUGCUGCCAAUUCUCCACAGUACUAUAUCCUAUAAGGGUGACCCCUUG